rnacentral:rRNA from 1 species
AACGAACGCUGGCGGCAUGCCUAACACAUGCAAGUCGAACGAGACCUUCGGGUCUAGUGGCGCACGGGUGCGUAACGCGUGGGAAUCUGCCCUUGGGUUCGGAAUAACUCAGAGAAAUUUGAGCUAAUACCGGAUGAUGACGUAAGUCCAAAGAUUUAUCGCCCAAGGAUGAGCCCGCGUAAGAUUAGCUUGUUGGUGGGGUAAUGGCCUACCAAGGCGACGAUCUUUAGCUGGUCUGAGAGGAUGAUCAGCCACACUGGGACUGAGACACGGCCCAGACUCCUACGGGAGGCAGCAGUGGGGAAUAUUGGACAAUGGGCGAAAGCCUGAUCCAGCAAUGCCGCGUGAGUGAUGAAGGCCUUAGGGUUGUAAAGCUCUUUUACCAGGGAUGAUAAUGACAGUACCUGGAGAAUAAGCUCCGGCUAACUCCGUGCCAGCAGCCGCCGUAA